GGGGCGGCGGCCGGCCUCGGGGGGGCGGCGCGGAGGCGGCGAAGCGGCGGUGGGGCUCCUGUCCGCACUCGGCGAUUUUUGGGGGGCCGAAAGGGCGGGCGGGCGCGCUGCGGAUCUGACAGGACCUGCCCGUAUAUGUCUAAUAUAAAGACCAUUUCCUGCGGCGCGAGGGGCGCUGCUUGUCCGCGCGCGCCCGGCGGGACCGCCCGCUCCCACCGCCCGAUCCCGCUCCCACCCCCGGCAGCCGCGGAGAGCAGAGUGGGGGCUGCUCCCCCUUGUCGCCUCCCCGGCGGCCGCGGAGGGCGGGCGGCGCGUCCCUAAUUUAUUUAUCACUGUUCCCCAGGAAGGGGUGGAAAGUGGGUUAUCGAUUAUAUAAACACAUCAAUAUUCAUGGCGCUGCGCGGAGGGACGCGGCUCGGCCAGAACAGACAGCGCGGGGGGAGGGGGAGCGCGGCGGCGUUGAUGGGCGCGCUCUCUCUGCGCUCGCGGACGUGGGCGAGCAGCUGCAUGUGCCAGUGGGGCGAUGGCUCCGCGGGCGCGGAAGGGCGCGGGGCGGUGGACAGGUGGCAGCGUGCCCCGCGGAGAGGGGCGGCUCUUUACCUGCGCCCCGCCCGCCCCCCGCGGCGGCACCCCACGUCGGGGGGAACCACCGGCUCUGCGCGUCCCGCACAGCCUCCGCUGUCUUGAGGCGGGCAGCUCGGGGGGCCGCCGGGAACCUCAGCCGCGGGGAGUCCCGGUCAGCGAGAGGAGCGGGCACCGCCGCAAGUGCCGCCCCGCAACGCCGGGCACUGAAAGUUCCCAUCGGUGCUCUAGGAGCUGCAUCCCCGCAGUCCCCUCCUGAUGAGUCUGAAGGCAAUGCAGGAUACUUCCCACAGUUACACCCACCACCAAAUCAUGACAGCAGAAACAGUCAAGAUGAAAGUUCAUCCUACCUUUACAACCAAGGCAUUGAAUUCCCAUGUCUGGAUCUUUCUGUAUUUGAAACUCUCCAUUGCCUUCAUUGUAUUUUUAAGGUAAAGAAUUUGAAGAUCUGUUCCUAAAUAAAAAGUACCAAAUUAAUAUUACAGCAUGGUGGAGUUUCCAUUUACUGCACACAACAGUCAAGAUAUUCAGACUUAUGGCUCCCCACUGCAAUUGUAAUUCAGUUUCCUUGCUCAUACAUAAUGCUUUUAUCUACUCUGAAUGAGCUUAUUUUUAGUUUCUUAACAUGCCCAUAUAAUUCAAUUGUCACAGCUUCCAUAAGAACAAUAGCUUGGAAUUCCCUGCCUUUAAUUUGGACUAACUCCUGUCUAUAAGCAUCACAUCAGCAAUGUUUCCAACUUGUAUGGUGACUAUGAAAUCAAUCAUUAUAUACAUACACAUACAUUACAUACAUAUAUAUGUAUAAUGCUUGACGACCAUUUGCAGGGGUAAUGUCUCAAAGUAAUGUUAUGAUCUCCUCUGGAUAAAUCCAACAGCUCCAACUGGACUGCCUCCUCUCUGUUCCAGCCUUUGCAGCUGGGCUGUUGGCUGUGAAGGAAAUUCUCCUGCCCAUGCAGGAGGAGACAACAGGUAUGAACCUGCCUCAAGUCCUUCCCUACCUUUUCUGCCAUGAGGACAUUUCCAGUUGCCUGACCACAGAAGACGAUGAUCCUCAGGACAGAGAUGCCUCUGGCACACGUAACAGGAUCCCAGGUGCUGCAGAAGCGCACUGGGGGAGCUCACCCAGAUGCCCCAUCAUUCUCAGCUGUGCCCAGCCCAUGGGGAGAGAUUGCUAUGGCUGCCUCUAUUCCGCGACAAAAACAGGCAGGACAUUCAGCAGCUGAGCAUUGAGGCUUCCCAAUUAGCCAUCCUGGAAUGCAGUGAUACAUGGCUGGUUCUAUUUUUGCCUCCAUAACUCCAGGCCCAUUCAUUCAGUGCAGUCUUUUUGAUUACACAAAAAAUAAAAAUAAAAAAAAAAGUGCCCA
rnacentral:lncRNA from 1 species